UACGUAGGGUGCAAGCGUUGUCCGGAAUUAUUGGGCGUAAAGAGCUCGUAGGCGGUCUGUUACGUCGGCUGUGAAAAACCUAGGGCUCAACCUGGGCCUGCAGCCGAUACGGGCAGACUAGAAUUCGGUAGGGGAGACUGGAAUUCCUGGUGUAGCGGUGAAAUGCGCAGAUAUCAGGAGGAACACCGGUGGCGAAGGCGGGUCUCUGGGCC
rnacentral:rRNA from 1 species